AUUUUCACCUGGAGUCACCUGGUAAUGGGGUAUUCGUUUGGUUUACUGGUCUGUGUGAAGGGUCUUCUCGUGUGGCAAUUGUGAAAUUGAAAACUGUUAACUAAUUAGUUAUUCAAGCGAAGAGGUAGCCUGACACCUGCUCCACCUGUGAUGCAGUCAGGCGUCAACGUUUUGCAGUUGCUGUCAAUUACAAGAAGCCGAGAAAGAGAGAGAGAGGCAAAGAGAUAAGCAAUUACUAUUGCAAUUGAUUGCAGUCCCGUUGGCGAACCGUUGUUCCGUGUCCAGCUCCGUGCUGCAAGUUAUGGCCCGCACAUAAAAGUCAAACAUGGCUGAUAAAUGAAGCUCGACAAUUUACAUGCAGCCAGAGUGAAAGGUGAAAAGUGAAAAUCAGAAAAUCAAAGUGAGAAAUUCGGCAAAAAAUGUGCAAAAAAAUGAAAAAUGAAAAAUGAAAAUUCUUGCUUUACGCGCAGAUUUUCAUAGAUGUGGGAAAAGCGAACGCCAUGUUCCAUUUACCAACUGACAGGGAUAAGCAACCGAACGAAAGGAUAACAAUGUCACAGACACACACACGCACACAGACACCAACUGCAGAUGACAAGCGACCAAAGGGAAUACGAAUAACAACAACCAGAGGAAAAACACCAAAAAGUUGGGUUAAGUUGAACGAAAACUUAGAUGCUCUUUAAACUAAGCCGAGAGCUAUUAAAAAAGACAAUGGAAAGAUGAAAAUGUUAAAGAAGUUUAAUAAAGGAGAAUAAAUACUAUAAUUAGAGAAAGAUGGCGAUGUAACAAAGGAGAAAGGCAACGAGAAAAGUAAAGACAAUGGAAGUAAACGAAAAAAUAUUAAUGGAAGUAUAUGGAGCAGA